UACGUAGGCAGCAAGCGUUGUUCGGAAUUACUGGGCGUAAAGAGUGUGUAGGCGGUGCUCUAAGUUCGGUGUGAAAUCUCCCGGCUCAACUGGGAGGGUGCGCCGAAAACUGGAGUGCUGGAGCGCGGGAGAGGAAAGCGGAAUUCCUGGUGUAGCGGUGAAAUGCGUAGAUAUCAGGAGGAACACCGGCGGUGUAGACGGCUUUCUGGACCGUAGCUGACGCUGAGACACGAAAGCGUGGGGAGCAAACGGG
rnacentral:rRNA from 1 species